GACGAACGCUGGCGGCGUGCUUAACACAUGCAAGUCGAACGGUGAAGCGCCUUCCUUUUUGGUGGGUGUGGAUGAGUGGCGAACGGGUGAGUAACACGUGAGUAACCUGCCCCCUUCUUCUGGAUAACCGCAUGAAAGUGUGGCUAAUACGGGAUAUUCUGGGUCUGUCGCAUGAUGGGUCUGGGAAAGAUAUUGUUUCGGUGGGGGAUGGGCUCGCGGCCUAUCAGCUUGUUGGUGGGGUGAUGGCCUACCAAGGCGGUGACGGGUAGCCGGCCUGAGAGGGUCGACGGUCACACUGGGACUGAGACACGGCCCAGACUCCUACAGGAGGCAGCAGUGGGGAAUAUUGCACAAUGGGCGCAAGCCUGAUGCAGCGACGCCGCGGGAGGGAUGGAGGCCUUCGGGUUGUGAACCUCUUUCGCCAGUGAAGCAGGCCUGCCUCGUUUGUGGGUGGGUUGACGGUAGCUGGAUAAGAAGCGCCGGCUAACUACGUG
rnacentral:rRNA from 1 species